CAUCGCUCUCACUCUCUCACAUCGUUCUGCAAGCUCUCUACGGUUGCUAUCGCCAAUCCCAGAUUUUUCUCGCAUCGUCCACAUCAAAGACAUUCAACUUCAUUUAGAGCAAAAAGUGAUCAAACAGAUAAAUUUUGGAGUGAUUCCAAUUGGAGGAUGUUCGUGUACCUUUCAAGAUGACUGUGGUGAUGAAAUUAAGGCCUAGCGAGCAGCUUUCCCAGAUGUUUAUGGAUGUUUUGGGUAUUUUGGAGGUCAAGAUGGCAUAUUUUGAGGAAGAUUCCUUCUGAGGAUUUGUAGGGAACGUCUUCAGCUUUCAAAAAAGACCUUUUGGGACCAAAUUGGAGUUGAUUUGGUUGGUUAAAAGUGUAAUUUUCUGAGAAGUCCGAAUUUUAGUUCAAAUAGGAAACCUUUUAUUUUCUGUUUUAUUAUUGUAUUAUGUUUCCUAGUUUUAUUCUAUGACCUUUUAGAGUUUUAUUUUGUAGUAGUAUAAAUAAGAUAUUUUGCCAUUAGGGUUAGAGAGGAGAAGAGUGGAGGAAACGCACGCACUACUUUAGAGGGUUUUUGAAGUUUAUUUUCAAGGUGUUUUCUAUCCUUGUUUUUAAUAAUAUUUUGUUUAUGGUA